rnacentral:rRNA from 1 species
UGGGGGAUAUUGGGCAAUGGGCGAAAGCCUUACCCAGCAACGCCGCGUGAGGGAAGAAGGUUUUCGGAUUGUAAACCUCUGUCCUGGGGGACGAAGGAAGUGACGGUACCCCGGGAGGAAGCCCCGGCUAACUACGUGCCAGCAGCCGCGGUAAUACGUAGGGGGCGAGCGUUGUCCGGAAUUAUUGGGCGUAAAGGGCGCGUAGACGGCCGAGUAAGUUAUAGGUGAAAGCCCAUCUUUCAAGGAUGGAAUUGCCUGUAAUACUGCCUGGCUUGAGUGCAGGAGAGGGAAGCGGAAUUCCUAGUGUAGCGGUGAAAUGCGUAGAUAUUAGGAGGAACACCAGUGGCGAAGGCGGCUUUCUGGACUGUAACUGACGUUGAGGCGCGAAAGCGUGGGGAGCAAACAGGAUUAGAUACCC